UUAUAAAUUGUUAAUAUAUAUAUAUAUAUAUAUAUAUAUGACUNNNNNNNNNAUAUAUAUAUAUAUAUGAGUCUGGCUAUGGUGCUCGUAAAUGAUCUAUACCACUUGAAAAUGAUCUAUAUCACUUGAAGUAUUUAGAAAUCAAAUUUCAUACUUUUUCGAUAUUAUUUUCUUGUCCAUCAAGUGAGCGUAAAAAUGAAUAGCUGAAAAUGAAUAUCCUCUAAAAAGUAAUGAUAGAAAUUUUGUAAUCAUGAUCGAGAGUAUAGAUCUUGUUCUAACUAGUUUAAAGAAUUUUGUAACCAAAAUUCAAUUGAUUUGGAUAGCUUUACACCGUUAAACGAGAAAAUCCCUCAUAUCAACCAUUAAAAUUACUAAUUUUGAAACCCUUUGAUCAUUAGGUAAAUGAUGUCGAAAAAAUAUGAAAUUUGAUUUCUAGAUACUUCAAGUGAUAUAGAUCAUGUUCAACGAUACCGAUCGUCGAUUUGAAAACUCCAUCAUCGAAAACAAAUGGGUGGCAACGGAGCUCGUUUGCUACCGAUAGCAUUCCAGCUCAACUCUAUAUAUAUAUAUAAAACUAGGCUAGAAGCUUGGAAUAGUAUCAAUAGCACCAAGCUAUUGGUGCUAUUAGAUUCAUAGUCCUUAGAUUGAGAAAUGUGCGGUUAGGAUGAUGUGGGCCCCCUAGGGUUGAGUGGGUGGUUAGUUGAAUAGUAUAAUCUAAGGGGUAAGAAUAAUUAAAAAGUUAAAUUUAACGGUGAAAAACUCAAUAGCACCAAGCCCACGAUGCUAUCGAUAGUAUCUCAGUCUGGCUCUAUAUAUAUAUAUAUAUACUAGUUGAGUGUACGUACAAAUGCACGUAACAAUUAAUUAUUUAAUAAUAUUUUAAAUUAAUAAAAAAUUGUACAUUAUAUUUAUUCAAAAAUUUAUAAUAUUUUAAAAAAUAAAUUUAUUUAUUAUAUAAUAUUAGAAAAUACCCGUCAUACUCUAAUUCAAAUUUAAAUAGUUGUUGUCAACAAUAAUUAUAUAGUUUUUUUUUAUUUUAUAAAAUUUAUAUAUAGUGUAGAAAUAGAUAUACAUGGAAUAUUUUCUAUAUUUUUUAAUUCUAAUAAAUUUAAAAUUUAAAUAUAUAUUUUUAAUUAAAAGUAUCAAAUUUAAAAAGUUAAUAUAAUAAUAAAAUAUUAAUAGAUAAAAUAGAGAUUAUAUAUAUAUAUUAUAGAUAGAGAUAAAGAAGAAUUAAAUAAAUUUUGAAUUAAAAUAAAGAAGAAUUAAAUAAAUUUUGAAUUAAAAUAAGGAAGAAAUAAAUAAAUUUAGAAUUAAAAUAUAGAUCCAUAGCAAAUAUUUUUCGGUUGGCAAAAAUUUGAAUAAGCAUAAUUUUUUUUUCUGUUGUAGAGAUUAAAAGUUUGUUUAAUUCUAUUAUUUAUUUUACGUAAGGAAAGAGGAAUCAAUUUUUUUCCCGCCAAAAAAUGAGUCUGUCCGCAGACCGAAAUUUGAAAUACGUGCUUUUAUAUAUAGUAUAGAUAAAUAAUUAUAUAUAUAUAUAAUAUAAAUUUUUAUUAUUAAAUUUUAAACUUAAUCUAAAUAUAAAGUCCAACUCAAAUAUAAAAAGAUAAUUAAUAUGUAAAGUUUUAAUUAUUAGAUUAACGUCAAAUUAGUAAGAUCUUAUAAAUUUAUAUUCUAUACAUAUCCUUCACAAUUCUUUUAACUUGUUGUUCAUGAACCGACUGUCCCUAAAGCAAGUGGCAAAGGACUUGGUGAUUGGUACUCGAGACCCAAGUUCGAAUCCUAGUUGAUUCAUAUUUCUAGCUAAGUUUAUUUCUAAAUGAAAUAAACGAAGCGACUAGCAUGCUACCUAUCUCUCAAAAAAAAAAAAAAUAUUGUU
rnacentral:lncRNA from 1 species